rnacentral:lncRNA from 1 species
UCAGUAAUUUCAUUAGCAGCUCCAAUCGAAGAAGAAGAAGAAGAAGAAGCGUUGCAGAGUCAAGAAGUGAAAAUCAAUGGUGAUGACGUGGACAAAGUGAGUUCUUCAGACAGUAUUUCAACGAUGCGUGUGGAAGAAAAUAAAACAGAUGAUGAUGAUGUUUGGGAUGAUGUUGAUCAUAACAUGAUAGAUUUAAAUAUAAUGCAUGAGGAGACAUUAGAGGCGUCGAUUCUUGACCUUGAAGAACUUGCUAAUAGAAUAAAAUGGCUUAAGAGCAUUCUUGAUAACAGUCGAUCAAAUUCAGGAUCAUGGAAGUUUGAAGGAGGAAGUUGAUUAUUUUUAAAUUUUUGUUGUUGUUUGUUGCUAAUGUACAAAGGUGAAGCAAGUUGUGUGUUGUGACUACUAUUAGUGUGUGUAUGGAUUAAAAACUUGUUAAUUGAGGGCUUUUGGUAAUUAAUGAAUGAAAUUUCUCAUUUUUACUAUGUUUGAUUUAGCCAUCCAUAAGUAAUGUUAAAUGAUCAUUUCGGCCAAAUACAAAGAGAAAUGAAAUUGGAUGACGUGCAUACAAAUUUUCUCUCUCUUUUUUUUUUUAUUAUUAUUUUUUUUUUUUAUAAAGCUAUUUGAUAAUUAUGCUAUCAAAACGGUUUUGUGGUAAAUUUAAAUGUUCAUAAAUGUUAUAAGUAUUAUAUUUGAUGCAUAGAAUUAGAAUUUGGCGUUACAUUAUUUUGGUUAGUCGGGCAGUAUUUGACGUAUGAUUGUCCAAAUCGCGAUCCUGAUCGUAUGAUCCUAGGUAUGAAAAACGACCCGGAUCGUAUUUGGGGUAGGAUCGAGAUCUGAUCCGAUUCUACCUUCCCUUGAUUUUUUUUUUUUUUUUUUUUUUUUUUUUUUUGCAAAUCUUUCAUAACAUUUUAUGUCUUUUACCCUUUACCAAUCUACCAUUUAUUAUUUUUUAUUGUGACUUAUGACUAAUAUUUUGAAGUUUUUAUAAUUUUUGAACAAAAAAUUAAAUGUUUGAAAUAUUUUUCAUGAUUAAAUAUUAUAAAUUAAAAUUAUAUUUUAUUUUGUAGGAUCUUAGAAUCUCAAUCCCAAUCUUGAAACCCAAAAGCGAUCCUAGGUAGGAUCCCGAUCUUGACAACCUUUAUUUGAUGUUUCCAAUCUAAACAUAAACUGUCCUAAUUUGGUUAUUUCUAAUAACAUAGUUGGGAAUUUAGUUAGAUUUCUAUUUUAUUACUAUGGUUAUUUCUAAUAACAUAGUUGGGAAUUUGGUUAGAUUUCUAUUUUAUUAUUAGGUGUGAGAGUCGUAUACUAUACAUGUUUAUUAAAAAUAAAAGUUAUAUAUCAUAGUGUAAAUAUUAAAUAAUUUUAAUGCCUAUUUCAUUUCAAAGUUUAACAAAAUAUAUUUUAUUAUAUCUUAAUUUUGACAAUAUAGUUUUAUAAUAUUUUAUUAUUGUAAUUAUGUAACAAAAAAAAUCCUAAUAAAUGUUUUUAGUGGUAGAAAAAAACAAACUAUUUAUUAUUAUGUUUAUUUUAUGGAGAAAAAUAUAUUUACCUUAAAUAAUAACUAAUUCAUUAAUUAUAGUUUUAUCUAUAUAUUUAACAUAAUANAUAAUAAUAAUAAUAAUAAUAAUAAUAAUAAUAAAGGAAUUAAUUAGUGAAAUUGAUUAAUUUUUUAUUAAAAAUAAAAUAAAAAUACCACAUAAUAACAUGUGAAAUUUAAGUAAUUAAAAAAUGACAUAAUGACAUGUGAUAAAACUUUAAAGAAAAUGAUAACCGAAAAAAAAACAUUUUCAUUUAUCAGUAGACUAGGUUAUAACCCAUGAAAACCACGGUAGGUAUGUUCAAUUUUUUUAUUAUAUAGACAAAAAUAAGAUUAAAUGUCAACAUAGUAAAAUGCAAUGUAUUUUAGAUUGUAAGUAAAACCGGAUGAAUUUGAUAAGUAAAAAAGAAAAUCUUUUAAAUUACAUUUUGAAACACUUCUUGGUAUAUAUCAUUUGACGUUUUAUUGGUUAAAUUACAAUUUUUAUCUAAAAUCAAUAACUUUCAAUUAUUAUAUGCUCAUUUUUCUGGAUAAAACAACAUAUAACUGGCCGUAUGAGAAAACUGGUUCUUGUAAAAAAAACACCAACAUUUGACAUCGCUGACAUUGACUUUUAUUUAUGGUCAUAACAAAACAAACACCAACAAAAAUGUCAUUAAUUUGAAUGGAAUUUUGACGUCCAAAGGGUUAAAGACAAUUUAUAAAAAGAGUAUAUACUAUAUAAAAGUGUAUAGAUAAAUAUAUGAUAAAGUCAUUGUUAUUGUAUAUUAUUACUAAGCAGUUUGUAUGUAUAAAUUUUAUUAAAAAUUAAACGUUAAUGAUGCAACAUUAAUUUUGUAAACUAAAAUUUAACAGUAAUAAUUUAUUGUGUUAAAAAAAGUUGUAAACGUAUUUGUGAUUGAAAGUAAACUAAUAUAACUUUUGAUAACAAUUUAAAGAUACAAAAAUAAUUACAUAAGUAAAAAGUUAUUGGGAAAAAAGUUAUAUGGACUUAUGCUAGUACACUAACAAAGUAUAGGGACUAAAUUCAAACUUUAAAUAAAAAACAUGAACUGGAUUACAAGAGGUAUACGAAUUUUUAAAUCAAAGAUGGUUUAUUAGUUAUCAAAAAAAAUUGAAAAUUUCUUAUAAAUACUUCUUAAUUUUUUGAAUAUUUAUUUUAUUAGCAUAAGAUGUUUUUUGAAAUUUUAAAUGAAAGAUUUUUAUAAUUAUCAAAAAUAUGGAAACUUGAAUUUUGAAUUUUUUAUAAAUACUUUCUGGAAAAUAAUGAAAUAUCAAAAGAAAAAAAAAAAAAUUAGGAAUUUCUUAAAAAUUGGAGUAAAUUUAAUGAAUGGUCCCUAUGGUUUGAGGUAAUUUGCGUGUUUGGUCUUUAACUUAUUUUUUUUUUAACUCGGAAAGUCCUUAUUGUUUGUUUUUGUUAUGUGCUUGGUCCCAACUGUUUGUUUUUGUUACGCGUUUGGUCCCUGUUUUAUCUAAAAUGACUAUUAUUUAAAUAGAGAAAAAUGAUGAAGUACGUAAGGUAAGGUAAGGUGAGGAGCUGGGGUUGAGGGUGUGUUUAUUUCAACAAAUUAAAAAAUCAAAGUCAAAAUUGUCUUUUUAGGUAAGACAAGGACUAAACACGUAACAAAAAACAAACAGUAGAAACUUUCCGAAUUAAAAAAAUAAAUUAGAAACCAACCAUACAAAUUAUGGUUUAGGACCAUUCCUAUAAUUUACUCUAAAAAUUGCCUACUGUCAAUUAGCCCUACUUAGAAACCGGACACGUGGCACGUUUUGUUUAUCAGAUAAAGUAGUGGCGCUUGUAACAUAAAAUCGAGGGUUUUGUUCGAAGUUCUAAAUUUCGAGAUGGAGACUGGUUCAGAAGGAGAAAGCGAUCGGAACAUCAAUGGUGAAUCCGAUGGAUCUAAGAGACAUGAACGCCAGAUGAAGACGCGCUUCCAACGGGAUAUGCUUGAAAAAACCUAUGCCGGUAUGUACUAAAUCAUCCCUUCAUAAUUCUAUUGAUAUUUUGGUUUCCGAUUCCACGUUUCGUGAUUUCUGUGCGUAUUUCUCAUCUAUAUUUGAUAGAUUCCUCGUUAAUUUGUUGGGGGUUCUGUAAUAGAUUCAAUCGAAUCACAUAUAUGUUGUUAUAACUUCACAAUUUGAAGCAUUAUGUUGACUCGCUUGUUGUUUCGAUUUAAAGUUUUUGAUUACAUAUAUCCUCUGCAGUGGAGAUGUAUCCAUUGAAGGACACGAAAGAGAAGCUUUCGGGAACUUUAGGGUUAACCGAUCGCCAGGUGCAAAGGUGGUUUAACAACCGCCGGCUUAGAGAUAAUAAACGACGGACUGCAAAAAGGGCUGGACGUGGUGGAGUUGGGAGGAGUCACAAUGGUUCAUUCUCAGCUCGUCUUCAAUGUAAAGACACGAACCAGACAAUGGAGAAGCUUGGUGUUCUUAAGUUUGAAGUUGGUCAACUGGCUGAAACCAAAACUUUUGAGAAAGGGUAUCGUUCUGCUUGGUUCAAAUGCAAGGUAUCUCUUCAUUCAACUACUUAAAUAAUCUGGAUGAAACUAUGAUUUAUGAUAUAUUACUUUUCCCUUCAUCAGAUUAAGGAUAUAAGCUUGAAGAAGAACAAGAUUUUACCUGAGUACUAUGAUUUUCCAGAUGAAAGUGAGUUGACUAACCUUAUGACUUAUGUUAUGAAUGGAAGCAUGGAUUCUACUUGUAGUUAUACUUUAUUUUCAUUUGCAGAGAUUAAAUGGGCAAAUAUGUACGAAAUUCCUCCUUAUGGUAGAAAGUCAAAGAAUAUUAAAAAACAACUGAUGGUUCGACCUCAAUAUCCUCAAAUAUAUCACAAAAAUGAAAUGCCACCUGUCAAUUCGAUUACAGAAGUAUGUGUUAUCAUUGAUGGUGUAUGGAAGAGUGGGGAUUUGGUAGAUUGGUUUGAAGAUGAUUGUUAUUGGUCUGCAAGUAUUAUCAAAAUAUUGAGUGAUGAGAGGGUUAAGGUAAUUGUUAUAAAAAAAAAGUAAUAACUUCUUUAAUUAUUAUUAUUAUUAUUAUAUGUUUUUCUUGUUUACAAUUUUAUAUCUUGUGUAGAUAGAGUUGCCAAAGCCUCCAGCUGGACAAGGGAAGGUUUAUAUAGCAUUUUGUAAGGAUCUACGCCCUUCCUUAGAUUGGUCUCCAAGUAAAGGCUGGAUAGUGCCUACCAUGGUACUUUUCCUUUUUCCUAUUGUAGCAAUGUACUUUGAUUCAUUUUAUAAAAUUUGAGAGAUUAGGGUUUAUGUUUAAAGGAAUAAGAAUAACCUAAUCAUUUCAAGUCCCCAAGAAUACUACUGAUAAAGGUUACAAUUAAAGAAAAUAAAUUCCAUAUGCCAAAGUAAUACAAUGUUAUAUGUAAACUAUAUAUGCCUAUAAUGUUUAAACUUUUUGAUUUCAUAGAGGAAAGUUGAUGGAAUUUGAAUUUCAUCAUUAUGCUAAACAUAUUCUCAUUGUUGAUAAAUUUCACAUGCAGAGAGGUCGGACUUCAUGUAAUGCACAGCUUAUUUUUCCAUCACCAAAAGGUAAAAAAGUAAAUUGCAUUCUAAAUAACAUUUCCAAUUAUUUACACAUCUUUACUUCAUAUAUUAGUUUCAUCCUACAACUUUAAAUCGAGAACUUGUAGUGUUUUUACCAAUGAUGAGGGCAUUUACGUCUUUUUUAAAAGACAGACAAGAGGCUGAGUCCUUGUCCCACCUUUUUUGGUGGAACAAGAAACUGUCAUUUUUGUAGCAUUCAAAACUUAUAAUUUUUGUUUCACUGACAUCAGUCAGAUAAAAAGUUGUAAAUUUUGUCCUCUGUCCCACUUUUUUGGGUGGGACAAAAUUUAAGCUUUUUGGGUAAUACAAAAAGUUGUACUUUUUUGUCUUAUUGACAUUAGCAGUACAACGUGCCAUGUCAUGUCUUAAAUAAAACCACAUCUUUUGUUCUAAUAAUUAAUGCCAUAUGUCUCAAAAUACAAAUUAAAUAUUAUAAUUUUCAUGGAUUUUAUAUUUUUAUGGUAAAAUGUAACAUCUUUUAGGGAUGGAUAUUGAGAAGGAGGAAAUUGAUACACCUCUAAAUGUAUCUUCAACAUCCCGUACAUCAGUAAUUUCAUUAGAGGAUCCGAUGGAGGAAAUACCGAAUAGUCAAGAAGUGAAAAUAGAUGGUGAUGAUGUGGAAAAGGUGAGUUCUUCAGACAGUAUUUCAACUAUGCGUGUGGAAGAAAAUAAAACAGAUGAUGAUGAUGAUGAUGAUGUUUGGGAUGAUGUUGAUCACAACAUGAUAGAUUUAAAUAUCAUGCAUGAAAAGACAUUAGAAGCAUCGAUUCUUGACCUUGAAGAACUUGCUAAUAGAAUAAAAUGGCUUAGGGCCAUUUUAGAGAACAAUCAAUCAGGGUUCGGAUCUUGGAUGUUUGCAAAACAACAUUCAUCAACCAAAGUAACUUGAUACAAUAGUUGACUGUAAAUAGUAGUUUUACUUUUUGUUUUUGUGGAAUUGUUUCUGAUGGAAAUGCCUGUAUGAUUAGUAAAUUAGAUGCGUUGAUCAAAUUAUGAUAUUUCUCAUUUUACAAUAUCGGAUUGGGAUUUAGAGGAUUUUUAUCAAAGUGAAAUAGUUGAAGGGACAACUUUACUUUGAAAACAUUUGUGAUAAAGAG